rnacentral:tRNA from 1 species
AUUUAUAUAGUUUAUAAAAACAUUACAUUUUCAAUGUAAAAUUAGGGCCACCUUGUAAAUA